GUUCGAGCAGCUAUGUCAGCGAUGAGAGCACGUGCAGCAGCAUUAGCAAGCCUCACAAGGCGAAUGAUUCAAGAUGGGAAGCAAUUCAAGUGGUCCGUGCCAGAGAUGGUGCUCUUGGUUUAAGCCAUUUCAAGUUGCUUAAGAGACUGGGGUGUGGUGAUAUUGGCAGCGUCUAUUUGUCUGAGUUGAGUGGGACGAAAUGUUAUUUUGCUAUGAAGGUCAUGGACAAGGCGUCGCUGGCAGGCCGUAAAAAGCUGCUCAGAGCGCAGACGGAGAGGGAGAUACUGCAGUGCUUGGAUCAUCCGUUUUUGCCGACAUUAUAUACCCAUUUCGAGACCGACAAAUUUUCAUGCUUGG
rnacentral:misc_RNA from 1 species